UUUUUGUCUAUCUGGGAUAGGAUUUUUAAAUUUUUGCUUUUGUUUCUCGGUAUCCUCUAAUUUUUUUUCAGCGAACACACAAUACUAGUCCAGGGAGACAGGCCUGCGGUGGGCACCCCCGUCUGAGCUGCCCCGGGACAGAAGGUCCCGAAAGGCGGUGGAGGCACACAGACACUGCCCGCCUCUGGCCAUAGCUCCACCUGCAGCACUUCCUACAACUGCGAGCACCUCCUGGAAGGAUGACAUGCCGCUCACACAGGAACCAGUGUGUGCACUAUGAAAAUCAGGUGAAGUUCCCUGGAGCUGAGAAAGAGCAGAUGCUGGGGCUGCAUACCCCCUCAUUACUCGCCCAGCUUGAGAGAGGAGAUGCAGGUCCAGUCCUCCUAGCCAGCAGAGUAGCAGGACAUGGACUAGGCACCAGUGUGCAAAAGUUAAGUGCAUGGCUCUGAGAGUGAGUGUCUCUUUAAAUUUUUCACCUUAGGUGCCUUGCUUGCCUUACCUUAGUCCUGGACCUAAACAGCAGGCAAAAAAAACCCCAAAAACCAACAGAAAAAAUACAACACAAUGUGAUUUAUGUAAUAAUAGCAGCAUGAACAAGGUUCUGAGGUGGCAACAGUAAACUCUCCUGGGGAUGGUGGGGAGUGGCCUCCCAGGGGCACCUUAGCAGAGUCUCCUAGGAGCCAAGCUGGCAGACAUUCCAGGCAGAGGGAACAGCCCAGCAAAACCCUGCUGAGCAAAGCUGCCCAAUGGGGUAGAUGGGGCUUCAGCCAGAGCCCAGAGCACAGGGCCUGACAAGCCUCCAGGGCCUGCUAUAGAGCUAAACUGAACUCUCUAGGUUGGGGCUUUUCAUACCAUAAGAUGCUUUAGGAGCUACAUAAGUAUUUAAUCCAAAUUUUAUUCUAUAAAUAUAUGACUAUCUUUAAAGCUAUAGUUUUUAAAGUUCAAGUUUUUAACCCCCAGGAGGCUGCUGCUGCAUUAAUUUUGUGCUACUAGAAGAGUUAGCAUUUGUGCAGUUUGGAAUAAAGCUUCUCCUGCCAGUCCUUGGUAGGCGUUAGAACUUUUCAUCAAGAUACAACUACCCAGGAAGCUUGUUGCUGUCCAUGGAUCUGUGUUCUGAUUCAAUCCAAGGUGGGCCUGUAAGUAGACAGGCAGAGGCCCUCAUUUUCUAUUGAUUGGAGGACAAAUUGUUAUAACACUUUUGGAGGACAGUUUGACAAUAUGCAUCAAAAAAUCUUAAACACAAGCCUGUAAUUCCACUUCUUGGAAUACAGGCUACAGAAAAGCCCACACGUAUGCACAAAAAUGCAUGUACAAUGACAUCUAUUGCAAAAGGGUAACAGACAAAACUGGAAACAACUUAAACGUCCACAAGAGGGGUAGGAUAAAUUAGAGACAAACAAUGGAAUACUAUAUAGUGUUUAAAACACAAAAUAAAAACAAGUAUCUAAGAUGUCAAAAUUUUAAAAAGGUGUAGAUAGAAUGUGUAGGAUCUUAUUUCUCCUAAAUAAACAAUUUGUGUAAAUAUACAUUUAUGUACUUACUCCAUAAAUACUCUAGUAAUGAAGGAAAAAACAAUGAACUUAUCCAGCCCAAGGGUAUGUCAUUCAAAGGUCUCAUGAAGCUUUGCCACACAGAGAUCUACUUUGUAAAUGCCAUUGGAGGAAGCACCCAAACAAGAAAAGCAAGUCUAGGAGAUGCUGCAAGAGACAUGAGGGCCAAAGGUGGCCAAGUCAGCACCAAUUUCCUUUUUGUAGUGUUUGCCAAAUGUCUUUUUCCAGGCCCUUUUGCUUGAUAUUAAUAGAUCAAAGAUAAAAAGCAUCAUUAUGGACAGAGGAGGUCACCACAUAAUAAUGAAAAGUUCAACUCACCAAGAAGAUGGAGCAAUUCUAAACAUGGUACACACCUAACCAGAUAGUUCCCAAAAUAUCUGAAGCAACAACGGACAGAACAAGGAGAAGCUGAAAUCAAGCAUCACGGUAGGAUAGUUCAAGCAAGUAGACAAAAAAAAGUCUAGUCUGUCAAGAGGUGAAGUAUUCUGCUCCUCAUGUCGGGGUUGAACCACGUGACUUGCUUUGGCCAAUAAAGUUAGCAGGUAGGCAGUGCCCAGAGACCUGCAGAGUGCUU